UGGACCUUUAGAACCACAGAUGAUAGGACC
rnacentral:piRNA from 1 species